rnacentral:rRNA from 1 species
UAGGGAAUCUUCCGCAAUGGACGAAAGUCUGACGGAGCAACGCCGCGUGAGUGAAGAAGGCUUUCGGUUCGUAAAACUCUGUUGUUAGGGAAGAAAAAAUGUAUAGUAACUAUAUACAAAAGAGACGGUACCUAACCAGAAAGCCACGGCUAACUACGUGCCAGCAGCCGCGGUAAUACGUAGGUGGCAAGCGUUGUCCGGAAUUAUUGGGCGUAAAGCGCGCGCAGGUGGUUUAGAAAGUCUGAUGUGAAAGCCCACGGCUCAACCGUGGAGAGUCAUUGGAAACUAAUAAACUUGAGUGCAGGAGAGAAAAGUGGAAUUCCUAGUGUAGCGGUGAAAUGCGUAGAGAUUAGGAGGAACACCGGUGGCGAAAGCAGCUUUUUGGCCUGCAACUGACACUGAGGCGCGAAAGCGUGGGGAGCAAACAGG